rnacentral:rRNA from 1 species
GUUUGAUCCUGGCUCAGGAUGAACGCUAGCGGCAGGCUUAAUACAUGCAAGUCGAGGGGCAGCACGGUAGCAAUACUGGUGGCGACCGGCGCACGGGUGCGUAACACGUAUACAAUCUGCCUUUAACAGGGGGAUAGCCCGGAGAAAUCCGGAUUAAUACCCCAUAACACUAAGAGUAGCAUUACUUUUGGUUAAAAGCUCCGGCGGUUAAAGAUGAGUAUGCGUCUGAUUAGCUAGUUGGUGAGGUAACGGCUCACCAAGGCGACGAUCAGUAGGGGAUCUGAGAGGAUUAACCCCCACACGGAUACUGAGACACGGAUCCGACUCCUACGGGAGGCAGCAGUAAGGAAUAUUGGACAAUGCCCGCAAGGGUGAUCCAGCCAUGCCGCGUGCAGGAAGAAGGCCCUAUGGGUCGUAAACUGCUUUUACACCGGAGAAAACCUCCCCUCGUGAGGGGAGCUGAUAGUAUGGUGAGAAUAAGCAUCGGCUAACUUCGUGCCAGCAGCCGCGGUAAGACGAAGGAUGCAAGCGUUAUCCGGAUUCAUUGGGUUUAAAGGGAGCGUAGGUGGACUGAUAAGUCAGUGGUGAAAUCUCCGAGCUUAACUCGGAAAUUGCCAUUGAUACUGUUGGUCUUGAGUAUAGUUGCCGUUGGCGGAAUAUGACAUGUAGUGGUGAAAUACAUAGAGAUGUCAUAGAACACCGAUUGCGAAGGCAGCUGACGAAACUAUAACUGACACUGAGGCUCGAAAGUGUGGGGAUCAAACAGGAUUAGAUACCCUGGUAGUCCACACUGUAAAACGAUGAUUACUCGCUGCUAGAGGGCAGCUUUUAGUGGCU